rnacentral:rRNA from 1 species
GACGAACCGUGCGAACGUUGUUCGGAAUCACUGGGCUUAAAGGGCGCGUAGGCGGGCUGUCAAGUCCGGGGUGAAAGCCCCCCGCUCAACGGGGGAAUGGCCUUGGAUACUGGCGGUCUGGAGGAAGGUAGGGGCAGAUGGAACUCUCGGUGGAGCGGUGAAAUGCGUAGAUAUCGGGAGGAACGCCGGUGGCGAAAGCGAUCUGCUGGACCUUUUCUGACGCUGAGGCGCGAAAGCCAGGGGAGCAAACGGG